AACGAACGCUGGCGGCAGGCCUAACACAUGCAAGUCGAGCGAAGCCUUCGGGCUUAGCGGCGGACGGGUGAGUAACGCGUGGGAACGUGCCCUUUGGUACGGAAUAGCCCCGGGAAACUGGGAGUAAUACCGUAUGUGGUCGAGAGACGAAAGAUUUUUCGCCAAAGGAUCGGCCCGCGUUGGAUUAGGUAGUUGAGGGGGUAAUGGUCUACAAAGCCGACGAUCCAUAGCUGGUUUGAGAGGAUGAUCAGCCACCCUGGGACUGAGACACGGCCCAGACUCCUACGGGAGGCAGCAGUGGGGAAUCUUAGACAAUGGGGGAAACCCUGAUCUAGCCAUGCCGCGUGAUCGAUGAAGGCCUUAGGGUUGUAAAGAUCUUUCAUUUGGGAAGAUAAUGACGGUACCAGCAGAAGAAGCCCUGGCUAACUCCGUGCCAGCAGCCGCAGUAACAC
rnacentral:rRNA from 1 species